rnacentral:lncRNA from 1 species
AAAGAAUUAAUUGUGUGAUUGUCUUUCUUCUUCACAAACUGUUAUGACAAGUAGAUUUCAGAAUUUAGAACCUCUGAUAUGCUCAACCAGUUAAGAGAAGAAAGAAUUCAAGAAACUAUGGAGAAUGUGAAAGGAUUUUGGUCUAAAAAAGCUGCCUGCUGCAGACAUCAACUGCUUCUGUAGAAACAUUCGGGAACCUGGAAAGGCGCAACACACAGCUGUGCUGAUCACGGCCAGUGGUCCAUGGCCCACCCUCCCCUUCCAGGGUGGACACCGGGCCCCAGGGGGAAGCACUGGGUCCUCCUACCUACCUGAGCCCACAGAACUACUCUUGUAAAUGAAUCACUCCAAAAAUCAGC